GCCCCUCUGGCGGAAUUGGUAGACGCGCUAGACUCAAAAUCUAGUUCUCGCAAGGGAGUGCCAGUUCGAUUCUGGCGGGGGGCACCA
rnacentral:tRNA from 2 species